UUCAUUCCUCAUGACUACCUGGAAGUUCACAUAAGAUUCCAGAGGCUGAUGGGAGGAAGGGUUGAUGAGCGACAGUAGAUGAGUCGUGGGAGGGAGUGGAGGAAAGGGGCUGGUUGGCUCCAGAGAGAAUGGUGGGUGAGAAGCUGAAUCUUCAUGGCUGGUCAGAAGAUCUGGGAGCCAUGAAAGGACUGAGCUUGGCGGUGGAGCUAAGACCAAUACCUAGGCUUCUGGUUUCCCACAGUGCUCUCUGAGAAGAAAACUGGCAAUCAAACCAUUUCAGUGGGUUGCCCCACAUUGUGCAGAAAGUAAGAAGUGACUCAUACCACAUCGGUCCAGCAGCUGUCUUCAUAGGAUGUGGUCACUGGGCAACAGAGGUGUCUGCAGAGUCAAAGCAGGAGAAGAAAAGAGGGAGAGCAAGCCAGCAAGUACCAGCACCUGGUGACCUGCCCCCACCAUUGCCCUUCCUCAGGUCAUGCUUCACAAGAUCAUCCUGCCUUUGCUUCUCUUUCGGUAGUUUACGUGAAUUUAUGGAUGUAUGUAGCAUUGAAAAUAAAGUCAUGUUCUGCCUAAUGGUGUUUUGGACAAUGACCAACUGUACAUGCAAUAGAGGUCUCAUAGGAUUAAAAUGCAGCUGAGAAAUCCCCAUUGCCUAAUGAGUGUAAACUGAAGAAACUCAAGAGGAAAGAAAACUAUAGGAUAAUAAAAUAAGAACUUCUGAAUUAGUCAUCCUUGUGAAAUACCUGAGGCAAAAAAAAAAAAAAUUAUCAAAGAGGAAUGAUUUGUUUAGCUUCCAGUUUUGGAAGUUCCA